UACAGAGGCCUCAAGCGUUAGGCGGAAUCACUGGGCUUAAAGCGCGUGUAGGCGGAUCGUUAAGUGUCUUGUGAAAUCCCACGGCUCAACCGUGGAACUGCUGGGCAUACUGGCGAUCUUGGGCCACUCAGGGGCAACCGGAACAGGCGGUGGAGCGGUGAAAUGCGUAGAUAUCGCUUGGAACGCCAAAGGUGAAGACAGGUUGCUGGGGGUGUGCCGACGCUGAGACGCGAAAGCCAGGGGAGCAAACGGG
rnacentral:rRNA from 1 species